UCUAGAAUAGUCUAUAAGAUAAAGGUGGAAGAAGUGUCUAGAACACUCUCUAUUAGUGUAGUUCUAGAAUGUUCAUUGUAGCCUAUAAAAGGGAAGGUUCUCAUUUGGCCAAACCACCAAGUGUAAUCCAAAGCAUUCAAGCAAUACAAAGCUAGCAUUCUCCAAGAGCUCUCUCUAAGUUUCUCUAAGUCUCUCUUGUGUGUGCAAACUUCUCCUAGCUCUCUUCCAAAGAAGGCUUACUUAGGUGUAAGCAAGGCGUGCAUAAGCAUCUAAGGCCGCACGGUUGGCUUGGAAAAACCAAGGCCGUGACACUUUGCCAGCCUUCCUUAUGGCGAAAAACAAUUUUCAAGAACGGCACCGGGUUUUGCAGUGGCAGCUUGGGCUGCAUUAUCGGUACAAGCUUUGGCUGCUAAGAAAAUGACAACAAUGGUAAUUAAUAGUUCACUUAGAGUUAAACUUGAAUGAGUGUUGGAACAGUUUAAUCCCAUAUGCAAUUCAGAUAGGGGUUGGUAACUUUUUCAAAUUAAAUAGAUUUAAUUAGAAUUAAAAUUAGCAUGAUUUUUUUUAUUCA